AACGCAUAUUGCGCUCUCUGGUAUUCCGGGGAGCAUGCCUGUUUGAGCGUCAUUAAAAUCCAUCAAACAAUGUCUUGUUUGUUUUUAAACGAACUGAGAUGUGAGUUUGGAAUUGAGCAAGGAAUCGGAGGGGUUUGGAAACAAACUCUGAUGAUUCAUGCUUUAAUAGAAUUGGCAGUCCACAUGUUUCUACUAGAAUAUGUGCCCUCAAUGCGAUAAGGAACUUUGAAAAAAGCCCAUUCGUUGAGCGAGCUAUAUGUAAUUUGGUAGAGUCUCUCUUAAAAAGGAGAUUUGUAUGUUGGAUUGGACUAGCAGUUGACUUGACACAUUUGUGCCAAGUUUUUCUACAAUUUGUAUUUUGACCUCAAAUCAGGUAAGGUUACGCGCUGAACUUAA
rnacentral:misc_RNA from 2 species